CUUUCCCUCUGUCGGCAUGCUUUACACAUGCAAGUCGAACGGUAACAGGCCGCAAGGUACUGACGAGUGGCGAACGGGGGCGUAAUGCAGCGGAACGUGCCCAGUCGUGGGGGAUAACUACGCGAAAGAGUAGCUAAUACCGCAUACGAUCUAUGGAUGAAAGCGGGGGACCGUAAGGCCUCGCGCGAUUGGAGCGGCCGAUGUCAGAUUAGGUAGUUGGUGGGGUAAAGGCUCACCAAGCCAACGAUCUGUAGCUGGUCUGAGAGGACGACCAGCCACACUGGGACUGAGACACGGCCCAGACUCCUACGGGAGGCAGCAGUGGGGAAUUUUGGACAAUGGGCGCAAGCCUGAUCCAGCAAUGCCGCGUGCAGGAAGAAGGCCUUCGGGUUGUAAACUGCUUUUGUACGGAACGAAACGGCUCUGGUUAAUACCCGGGGCUACUGACGGUACCGUAAGAAUAAGCACCGGCUAACUACGUG
rnacentral:rRNA from 1 species